AGCGAACGCUGGCGGCAGGCCUAACACAUGCAAGUCGAACGAACUCUUCGGAGUUAGUGGCGGACGGGUGAGUAACCCGUGGGAACGUGCCUUUAGGUUCGGAAUAACUCAGGGAAACUUGUGCUAAUACCGAAUGUGCCCUUCGGGGGAAAGAUUUAUCGCCUUUAGAGCGGCCCGCGUCUGAUUAGCUAGUUGGUGAGGUAAAGGCUCACCAAGGCGACGAUCAGUAGCUGGUCUGAGAGGAUGAUCAGCCACAUUGGGACUGAGACACGGCCCAAACUCCUACGGGAGGCAGCAGUGGGGAAUCUUGCGCAAUGGGCGAAAGCCUGACGCAGCCAUGCCGCGUGAAUGAUGAAGGUCUUAGGAUUGUAAAAUUCUUUCACCGGGGACGAUAAUGACGGUACCCGGAGAAGAAGCCCCGGCUAACUUCGUG
rnacentral:rRNA from 1 species